rnacentral:lncRNA from 1 species
AGGGGCAGGGCUAGUCACCGCAUGGGAAGCAGAAACCAGACACAGACUGAGAGAGCACCCAGAAGAAAUCAGAGCACAGCCAAAUUUCUAAUCAGAGAUAAGAUGCAAAAGGAAGGUCCAGCCUUCUGGAAUAUGCAGAAGGUUUGACAAAGGCUGUCGUGGGGCUAAAUGAAUGUGAUCAUCCAGAGAUAAAUAAGGAGAAGAAAAGCUAUGGAUUCCUUCAAAAUGAAUGAAAAUCAGAUUUGAUCAGGGGAGAUCCCCUGAAGAUCCUGACUGCAGACAUGAAAGAAAUCAAGAAUACCAACAAAACAGACAGGUCAGCUCCAGGCAGCACCCCCAUUCUACUUCAUAGAAGAUGAUGAGCAUCGAGAACCUCUGUACGGAGUUUGCUUCAAAUGUGGCAAACAAGCCACUGGGCAAGAAACUGCUCUUGCUUCAGCCGCUGACAGUAUGCUGUCCAAACUGGACCAACAGGAUGCAGGAGUUGCCCUGGUCCCAGUGUCUCUUC